rnacentral:rRNA from 1 species
CCGGCGCACGGGUGAGUAACACGUAUCCAACCUGCCGUCUACUCUUGGACAGCCUUCUGAAAGGAAGAUUAAUACAAGAUGGCAUCAUGAGUUCACAUGUUCACAUGAUUAAAGGUAUUCCGGUAGACGAUGGGGACGCGUUCCAUUAGAUAGUAGGCGGGGUAACGGCCCACCUAGUCUUCGAUGGAUAGGGGUUCUGAGAGGAAGGUCCCCCACAUUGGAACUGAGACACGGUCCAA